UACGUAGGGGGCUAGCGUUGUCCGGAAUUAUUGGGCGUAAAGCGUGCGUAGGUGGUUUGUUAAGUCUGAUGUGAAAGCCCUGGGCUCAACCUGGGAAUUGCAUUGGAUACUGGCAGGCUAGAGUGCGGUAGAGGAUGGCGGAAUUCCCGGUGUAGCAGUGAAAUUCGUAGAUAUUCGCAAGAACACCAGUGGCGAAGGCGGCUCACUGGCCCGGUACUGACGCUGAGGUGCGAAAGCGUGGGGAGCAAACAGG
rnacentral:rRNA from 1 species